UACAGAGGCCCCAAGCGUUACUGAGAAUCCCUGGGUUUAAAGGGUGCGUAGGUGGCGCGUUAAGUCCGUUGUGAAAUCCCUUGGCUCAACCAAGGAAAUGCUUCGGAUACUGGCGUGCUUGAGGCCGGUAAGGGUCACUGGAACUGACGGUGGAGCGGUGAAAUGCGUAGAUAUCGUCAGGAACGCCAAUGGUGAAGACAGGUGACUGGGCCGGUACUGACACUGAGGCACGAAAGCGUGGGGAGCGAACGGG
rnacentral:rRNA from 1 species